rnacentral:rRNA from 2 species
UUAUAUGGUCAAGAAGAGAAGCGCAAACGGUGGAUGCCUUGGCAGUAAGAGGCGAAGAAGGACGUGGAAUCCUGCGAAAAGCUAUGGGGAGCUGGAAACGAGCGUUGAGCCAUAGAUGUCCGAAUGGGGGAACCCGGCUGCAGCGAUGCGGUCAUUUGCAUUUGAAUACAUAGGAUGCAAAGGCGAACUCGGGGAACUGAAACAUCUAAGUACCCGAAGGAAAAGAAAUCAAGAGAGAUUCUCCAAGUAGCGGCGAGCGAACGGGGAGGAGCCUGGCGUGAUUUAUUAUUGAACUGAGUAGAACAAUUUGGGAAAGUUGGCCGUAGAGGGUGAAAGCCCCGUAUACGAAGGUUUGAUGAGGAACUAGGCACGCGAACAAGUAGGCCGGGACACGUGAAAUCCUGGUUGAAGAUGGGUGGACCAUCAUCCAAGGCUAAAUACUACUUACUGACCGAUAGUGAACCAGUACCGUGAGGGAAAGGUGAAAAGAACCCCGGAGAGGGGAGUGAAAUAGAAUCUGAAACCGUUUGCGUACAAGCAGUGGGAGCAUAGUUUAGGCUGUGUGACUGCGUACCUUUUGUAUAAUGGGUCAGCGAGUUACUUUCAGUGGCGAGGUUAACUGAAUAAGGGAGCCGUAGAGAAAUCGAGUCUGAAUAGGGCGAUAGUCGCUGGGAGUAGACCCGAAACCGGGCGAUCUAGCCAUGUGCAGGAUGAAGGUUGGGUAACACCAACUGGAGGUCCGAACCGGGUAAUGUUGAAAAAUUAUCGGAUGACGUGUGGCUAGGAGUGAAAGGCUAAUCAAGCCCGGAGAUAGCUGGUUCUCCCCGAAAGCUAUUUAGGUAGCGCCUCGUGAAUGAUUACUGGGGGUAGAGCACUGUUUCGGCUAGGGGGCUGUCAUGGCUUACCAAACCGAUGCAA